AUUGAACGCUGGCGGCAUGCUUUACACAUGCAAGUCGAACGGCAGCGCGGGCUUCGGCCUGGCGGCGAGUGGCGAACGGGUGAGUAAUACAUCGGAACGUGCCCAGUAGUGGGGGAUAGCUCGGCGAAAGCCGGAUUAAUACCGCAUACGACCUGAGGGUGAAAGCGGGGGAUCUUCGGACCUCGCGCUAUUGGAGCGGCCGAUGGCAGAUUAGCUAGUUGGUGGGUAAAGGCCUACCAAGGCGCGAUCUGUAGCUGGUCUGAGAGGACGACCAGCCACACUGGGACUGAGACACGGCCCAGGCUCCUACGGGAGGCAGCAGUGGGGAAUUUUGGACAAUGGGGAAAGCCCUGAUCCCAGCAAAUGCCGUCGUGUGUGGAGAAGGCCCUUCGGGGUGUAAAG
rnacentral:rRNA from 1 species